rnacentral:rRNA from 1 species
UACGGAGGGGGCUAGCGUUAUUCGGAAUUAUUGGGCGUAAAGGGCGCGUAGGCGGCCUUUCAAGUGACGGGUGAAAGCCCUCGGCUUAACCGAGGAACUGCCUGUCAGACUGGAAGGCUUGAGACCGGGAGAGGUGAGUGGAAUUCCCAGUGUAGCGGUGAAAUGCGUAGAUAUUGGGAGGAACACCAACGGCGAAGGCAGCUCGCUGGGACGGUACUGACGCUGAGACGCGAAAGCGUGGGGAGCGAACAGG